rnacentral:rRNA from 1 species
CGUCAAGUCAGCAUGGCCUUUAUGUCCAGGGCCACACACGUGCUACAAUGGCCGAUACAAACCGUUGCAAUCUCGCGAGAGUGAGCUAAUCGGAGAAAGUCGGUCUCAGUUCGGAUUGCAGGCUGCAACUCGCCUGCAUGAAGUUGGAAUCGCUAGUAAUCGCGGAUCAGCAUGCCGCGGUGAAUACGUUCCCGGGCCUU